rnacentral:lncRNA from 1 species
AUGUCAACUUCGAUAUCUGUUUCUAACACAGAUACACUUGAUGAAGGUUUUAACUCAAGCACCCUUAAUUUGUGUUCAAGUUUUCCAUAAUUUACUGUGAAAAUGUCGCCUUGAGAAAGAGUAGCAUGCUGCCGAAGACUUGUUUCGAGGAUAGCUUUAUGGUUUGGUAAAUCAGAAAAUCCUCCUCUUUCAGGUUGAAGUUUUGCAUAAGUCCCUUUUGGAAGCCAAACAUAGCGGACUUCAAUCAAUGGAGAUUCCAUAAUACAACCUUCAGAAAACAAAUUAUUCCAUACAUGAGGAGGAAGACCCACUGAACCUUCAUCAGCAGUGAAUUCUAAAACUCCUGAAUGGGUUGUUCCCAUUUUCUCUUUGUCAGUAUCUUGAGUGCUUGAAGAUCCCUCCUUGUGAGUCAACGAUAACUGAAAGUACAUCGGUCCCUUAUCAAGCGCACCAUGAUCAGACAAGUCUGUAAAACAAGAAGGAGGCAGUUUGAUCUUAUCUCCACUACCUUGAUAAGGUACAGCUUCCAGUAAACGAUAAAAAACAAUUCCCCUCCCAACAAUUAGGUUUUCUUGCAUCUGCUGGUUACCUUGAGUUGAGCUUCAGCGGCAUCAAUACGACGAGAUCUUUGAGCAGCUUCAAUGGCUUCUCUUUGAAUACGAGCUUCUUCUUUCGCUUUCUUUUCCUUUUGGAGUUUCAAUCUUGCUUUUUCCUUUCGUUCCUUUUGUUCUUUCUCUAUCUUCUCUCUCGCUCUUCUCAGUUCAAAAUCCAUUUUCUCUCUGUGUGAUUGUGUUGUUGUGAUGAACUAGUUCGUGUUGGUUACGAAAAUAUAAUGAGUUUUGAUUUGUGUG